rnacentral:rRNA from 1 species
GAUGAACGCUGGCGGCGUGCUUAACACAUGCAAGUCGAACGGUGAAGGCGGAGCUUGCUCUGCUGGAUCAGUGGCGAACGGGUGAGUAACACGUGAGCAAUCUGCCCCUGACUCUGGGAUAAGCGCUGGAAACGGCGUCUAAUACUGGAUACGAGCUGCGAAGGCAUCUUCAGCAGCUGGAAAGAAGUUCGGUCAGGGAUGAGCUCGCGGCCUAUCAGCUUGUUGGUGAGGUAAUGGCUCACCAAGGCGUCGACGGGUAGCCGGCCUGAGAGGGUGACCGGCCACACGGGGACUGAGAGACGGCGCAGACUCCUACGGGAGGCAGCAGUGGGGAAUAUUGCACAAUGGGCGAAAGCCUGAUGCAGCAACGCCGCGUGAGGGACGACGGCCUUCGGGUUGUAAACCUCUUUUAGCAGGGAAGAAGCGAAAGUGACGGUACCUGCAGAAAAAGCGCCGGCUAACUACGUG